rnacentral:sRNA from 1 species
GCCCUAUUUCGCACGUGCCUGUGGCCGUGUGCUAGUCGGUGGGCAUCCGGACAAGAGGCCGGACAGCCGCCCGGAACGUCAGGCCCUCGGGUCUUCGUUCCGAACACUUGACUGGCAGCCGGAGGCGAAACCGGCGCACCCCGUUCUCAAGCGGGGGACGCGGCUUAAAGCAACGACGGAACGGGCUUUU